UCAGAGCAGAGGAGGGGGCAAGUCAGAUGUGUGUUUGAGAUGCUCUCUUGGCAGCCAGGAUGGAGACAAGAAAAGGGUGAAUUUGAGAGUUGAGGAUUUAUCAAACUUCCAGCAGUUAAGUCCCUGGGAAACAGCACCAAAAGAGAGAUAAUAAAGGAACCAAAAGAAGAAACCACACAGGAGCAGAUGGAGGCACCAACUGCAUAAAGAAUGGUGACUGCACACAGGCAAGAUGCGCACAGCAGGUGGGAAACUUCUGUAACAAGUAUGUCCACAGGCAGAUCACCUUUACCUGUGAGGAGCUUGUGUGCACGAGGGCAACCUCGCAGCAGCGACGCCCACCACAGAAUGCUGAUGGCUCAAUCCCAGCAGAAGUUUAUUUAGGGCACAGAAAGCUGGAAACAAGGGCUUGACUGGAGGCAGCUCUGCAGCAGGUGGAGAUUUGGACAGCGAGGGCUGUCCUGGAGGAAGUCCCAAGGUCCUCACUUCCCUCUGUAGGCCACCCUUGGUGUGGACAACAGCUGCAGACAGGAGACACGGAGGGGGCACACAGAGGUCUUAGGGUCUGGCCUCAGGUGAUGUCCAUCACAUCUCUUUCUGUUGGUGAGAGCUAGUUACCUGGGCCCCCAGGGUGCAAGGCCGAGCUGGCAUGGCAUGCAGACCAACUAGUAGGAUCUUCUUGCCAGCUCAGGGGACAAUGCACACAUGGAGAAGUGCAGUUGGAUACCAGGCAUCUGGGAAAAUGCACAUGCUCACUCUUUUUCAAAGAAAUGCAGGUUCCAAAACCAAACACCAUUAGAAAAUAGACACCAGCCAACACAAUCAAGAUUAGAAGGUCUAUGGUGAGACCACUGAUGGAGCGUGAAGCUGGCCAAACUCUGGAGAGUGGUUGAUGAUACGUAUCAAGAAUCCAAAAUCCAGCAGGGCGUGGUGGCUCACGCCUGUAAUCCCAGCCAGGAAUUCGAGACCAGCCUGGCCAACAUGGCGAAACCCCGCCUCUACUAAAAAUACAAAAA
ensembl:lncRNA novel transcript